UACGGAGGGUGCGAGCGUUGUCCGGAAUCACUGGGCGUAAAGCGCACGUAGGCGGAUCGAUCAGUCAGGGGUGAAAUCCCAGGGCUCAACCCUGGAACUGCCUUUGAUACUGUCGAUCUGGAGUAUGGAAGAGGUGAGUGGAAUUCCGAGUGUAGAGGUGAAAUUCGUAGAUAUUCGGAGGAACACCAGUGGCGAAGGCGGCUCACUGGUCCAUUACUGACGCUGAGGUGCGAAAGCGUGGGGAGCAAACAGG
rnacentral:rRNA from 1 species